CAAAGAAUAUCUCUGGAUGCUAUUAAAUAUAGAUGUCUGGACUGAACUGAGCUUACACGACAAUUGCAGUCAAGAUUCUGCAACUCAGAAUGGGCAAACCAGGGACAUUUAGCUUUAUGGGAAAAUUGUAUAUGGUCAAGUUUUUAUUAGCCACUCUGAAUAAGAAAGAAGAGAAUGAGAGAAUCAAUAAAGAUUACAGUUUGCAAAGAGAGCAAUUUUGGGAGUGCACUGUAUGAUUUUCCCCCUUUGUGAGAUUUAUCUUUUUAUUCUUGUUUGCUCAGGUUAAUUGGGUUGCACUCCCUGAAUACACAAUAACGGGUGGAGGGGGAGCCUGCUGAGUGGCAGAGGUUAGCUGAUCUGAGGUUAACUAUCUCUACUAAUAAAGGAGAUUGAUUGUUCUCAUAUUUUAGGUUUUUAAACAUAAGAAAUGAAUCGGUGUUUGGUUUUCAGUUUUACUUGAGAUUAGUGGGAUGUAAAGACCUUCCUAUUAAUAUUAAAACACCUUUUUUGGAUUUGACAAACCAAAUAUCCUGUUCUUAUCUUUUUACCUGGUGGCAGUCUGAAUCAGUUCAUCCUGUGAUCCUGUCUGCCCGGAAGCAUCAAAAUAGUGAGGAAGUCUGAUGUGCCUCCGGGUUAAUCCAGCUGCCUGGGUGUAAGUUAUUAUUACUGAUUUAUUAACAACAUUUUAUAUCACUUACUAGGGGCCAGGCACUGUUCUAUACAUUUAAAAGAUACAAAUUGGUUUCAUCCUGUGAGAUAGAUACUAUUAAUUAUCCCUAUAAUACAGUUUAAGAAACUGAGGGACAAGUAAGUUGGCUUUCCCAAAGAUACUGCCAUUUAAUGCUAGCAUGAGGGCUCGAACGGGGAAAACCUAGUUGGAGUUCGUGUGCGUAGACCCUACAUCAUGCUGCUGCUCUUUUAUUUUUUUUAAAUUUUAUCUAUCCAGCCCCUUACAGAGUCGGAAGUCUGAAUGACUGAUGGAAUAAAGCCUUAUCAUGGUAAAGGACUUUCUAAAAGUCUCUAUUUCUUUUCUUUUCUUCAGCUGACAACACCUAAUAGCAAUGUAAGUGAUUCACAAUAUGUAAACAUCUAAACGAACCUAGAUACUAAAACUGCAUGCGACUCUAAAGGGAAAAUAUCUGAGAUGCCAUCUGGAUCUUACAGAGAAAAAUGCUUGACAGUGUAUUCCUGGGGACUAACGUUAAAGAGAUGCUUCACUGACUGUCACAAUCCCUUUUGGAAACCUGUGAUCACAGCUGGUGACAUUCCUGACAUCUUUUAUCUGUUCCCAUACCUUUUCUUUCGGCUAGACGUUACAGAGUGUGGAGUUAGAUGGCCAAUGAAUGUGCUGCAUCAGAAUCAAUAGAUCUCAUUCAGUUUACAGCAGAGGCAAGAGGAAGCCUGAAGUAGGGGCAGGGCGUGAAGGGCAGAGCUCAGGGUUUUCAUGCAGGUCCGGCCCUUGCAGACAUGGUUCAAGCACAACCCACAGACUUUCAUGAAACACUCAGUCUCCAAAAUGUGUGUAGGAAGGGCCUGAGAGGACUGCUGCAAAUACGUUAUUGUUCCCAGACGUAUCUAAGGGCAGCUAAAGUCAUAACAUUUAUGGUGAUAUUGCUUAAAUUACAUUUUCUAAUAUCUCACUCAUACAUGUAUUACCUAUAUUAUUAUACUAUUAAUUACACCUUCAUUGAUUUUUAAAAUUUUAUUCUGUUAAGAUUAGAUGAGGAUGCAUUUUCUAAAAACUACAGGAUUACCCAAACAGAACAGAUUGCAUUUCAAGGUUAGGAAGUUUUUCUAAUAAUAAUUUAUGGCCCAAGUAUAAUGUGAUGAAGUGUGUCGUAGGUACCAACCUGAGACUAUGUUUGCCAAGACUUGAAUAAAAAAUGGGGGAAAUGAUUUCUAGCCCUUGUUAGAAAUGCCCUCAGAAUGCUUUUUAUUUCUAAAGAAUGCUGCAUUGUAUAUGUGCAGGUAUUUUUCAGCCAAACGGUUUAAUUUGUAGAGAUUUUAUAUCACGUAAGAUUUGUUUCCUAUGCAUUUUCUUCCAAAACUAUAAAAAGACUAGGUUCUACCUUAAUUUCUAAGAAAAAUGUUAUAAACCUUUAUUAUGAUGGUACAAUAUAUCAAACAAUGUAAUUUUUACAUUUUCACCUUUGAGAGUUAUUUUUCCCCAAGCUUCUGCCUUUUUUUUUGAGUAUUUGCAAAGCUCUGCAAAUGACAGGCGCAUCCACAAUGCAAAGAAUAAUCUUUCUUUGGGGCUGUUCCUGGGGUAGUGAUUAGUGGCGUCUUCACUGAAUAUUUAACUUCCUCAGAAUUGCUUAUCUGUGCUGUGGAUCAGUGCAAGAUCUGGGUGAACUGUCGCUACUCUACAUAAUUAAGUUUUCCUUGCCAAAAAAAGAGAAAGU